rnacentral:rRNA from 1 species
UACGUAGGGCGCAAGCGUUGUCCGGAAUUAUUGGGCGUAAAGAGCUCGUAGGCGGCUUGUCACGUCGGAUGUGAAAGCCCGAGGCUUAACCUCGGGUCUGCAUUCGAUACGGGCUAGCUAGAGUGUGGUAGGGGAGAUCGGAAUUCCUGGUGUAGUGGUGAAAUGCGUAGAUAUCGGGAGGAACACCAGUGGCGAAGGCGACUACCUGGCCUGUUCUUGACGCUGAGGCGCGAAAGCUAGGGGAGCAAACGGG